AGAGUUUGAUCCUGGCUCAGGAUGAACGCUGGCGGCAUGCCUAAUACAUGCAAGUCGAACGAGGGUCCUUCGGGACUCGAGUGGCGAACGGGUGAGUAACACGUAGGGAACCUGCCCGUGCGACCGGGAGAACUUUCGGAAACGGAAGCUGAUACCGGAUAGGGACAGAGACGGCAUCGACUCUGUGUUAAAGGAGCUGAAAGGCUCCGCGCACGGAUGGACCUGCGGUGCAUUAGCUAGUUGGUGAGGUAACGGCCCACCAAGGCGACGAUGCAUAGCCGGCCUGAGAGGGCGGACGGCCACACUGGGACUGAGACACGGCCCAGACUCCUACGGGAGGCAGCAGUAGGGAAUUUUCGUCAAUGGGCGCAAGCCUGAACGAGCAAUGCCGCGUGAACGAGGAAGGUCUUCGGAUCGUAAAGUUCUGUUGAAGGGGAAAAAGAGCGGAGAGAGGAAAUGGUCUCCGAUUGAUAUUACCCUUCGAGGAAGUCACGGCUAACUACGUGCCAGCAGCCGCGGUAAUACGUAGGUGGCGAGCGUUAUCCGGAAUGAUUGGGCGUAAAGGGUGCGUAGGCGGCCUGCUAAGUCUGGAGUGAAAGGUACCGGCUCAACCGGUACAGGCUCUGGAAACUGGCGGGCUAGAGAGCAGGAGAGGGCGGUGGAACUCCAUGUGUAGCGGUAAAAUGCGUAGAUAUAUGGAAGAACACCAGUGGCGAAGGCGGCCGCCUGGCCUGUUACUGACGCUGAGGCACGAAAGCGUGGGGAGCAAAUAGGAUUAGAUACCCUAGUAGUCCACGCCGUAAACGAUGAGGACCAAGUGUUGGGGAAGACCCAGUGCUGCAGUUAACGCAGUGAGUCCUCCGCCUGGGGAGUAUGCACGCAAGUGUGAAACUCAAAGGAAUUGACGGGGGCCCGCACAAGCGGUGGAGUAUGUGGUUUAAUUCGAAGCAACGCGAAGAACCUUACCAGGCCUUGACAUAGGGUGCGAAGCUAUGGAGACAUAGUGGAGGUAAACAUCCAUACAGGUGGUGCAUGGUUGUCGUCAGCUCGUGUCGUGAGAUGUUCAGUUAAGUCUGGCAACGAGCGCAACCCUCGUGAUGUGUUACCAAUAUCGAGUUAGGGACUCACAUCAGACUGCCGGUGAGAAACCGGAGGAAGGCGGGGAUGACGUCAAAUCAUCAUGCCCCUUAUGGCCUGGGCUACACACGUACUACAAUGGCGGCGACAGAGGGCAGCGAGCCUGCGAAGGCAAGCGAAUCCCCAAAAAGCCGUCCCAGUUCGGAUUGGAGUCUGCAACCCGACUCCAUGAAGUUGGAAUCGCUAGUAAUCGCGGAUCAGCAUGCCGCGGUGAAUACGUUCUCGGGCCUUGUACACACCGCCCGUCAA
rnacentral:rRNA from 1 species